rnacentral:rRNA from 1 species
CGCUGGCGGCGCGCCUAACACAUGCAAGUCGAACGGAGAAUGCAGGACUGAAGCCUUCGGGCAGAUGACCUGUAUUCUUAGUGGCGGACGGGUGAGUAACACGUGAGCAACCUGCCUUCAAGAGGGGGGAUAGCACCUGGAAACGGGUGGUAAUACCGCAUAAGACCACAGUGUCGCAUGGCACAGAGGUCAAAGGAGCAAUCCGCUUGAAGAUGGGCUCGCGUCCGAUUAGAUAGUUGGUGAGGUAACGGCUCACCAAGUCGACGAUCGGUAGCCGGACUGAGAAGGUUUGAACGGCCACAUUGGGACUGAGACACGGCCCAGACUCCUACGGGAGGCAGCAGGUGGGGGAUAUUGCACAAUGGGCGAAAGCCUGAUGCAGCGACGCCGCGUGAGGGAAGACGGCCUUCGGGUUGUAAACCUCUGUCAUUCGGGACGAAUUGAUGACGGUACCGAAGAAGGAAGCUCCGGCUAACUACGUG